rnacentral:rRNA from 1 species
GCUGCUAGCUAGCUCUUUGCAACUAUCACGUGGUCGCCCACUGAAGCUAAGCAGGGCUGUGCCCGGUCAGUACCUGGAUGGAAGACCACAUGGGAAAGCUAGGUUGCUGUCGGAA